rnacentral:rRNA from 1 species
AACGAACGCUGGCGGCGUGCCUAACACAUGCAAGUCGAACGAGAAGUGCGUAGCAAUACGUAUUGUAAAGUGGCGAACGGGUGAGUAACACGUGGGUAACCUGCCCUCGAGCUUGGGAUAACCCCGCGAAAGCGGGGCUAAUACCGGAUAAGACCACGGGGACCAAAGUCCCUGGGGUAAAAGAUGGCCUCUAUUUAUAAGCUGUCACUUGAGGAUGGGCCCGCGGCCGAUUAGCUAGUUGGGGGGGUAACGGCUCACCAAGGUGAUGAUGGGUAGAUGGUCUGGGAGGACGAUCAGCCACACUGGAACUGAGACACGGUCCAGACUCCUACGGGAGGCAGCAGUGGGGAAUAUUGCGCAAGGGGCGAAAGCCUGACGCAGCAACGCCGCGUGGGGGAUGAAGGUUCUCGGAUUGUAAACCCCUUUCGACCGGAACGAAUCCCCUCCUGGUAAACAAUCAGGAGGGUCGACGGUACCGGGAGAAGAAGCCACGGCUAACUCUGUGCCAGCCGCCGCCGUAACAC